GGUUCGAUGAUGAUCUACCUUUUAUUAGGUGAUAUACGCUAUGCUGAAGUUUGUUGUGAGUGAAAAGAAUUAUAUGCAUAUGAGAACC